GAGGGAAUCUUCGGCAAUGGGGGGAACCCUGACCGAGCAACGCCGCGUGAGUGAAGAAGGUUUUCGGAUCGUAAAGCUCUGUUGUUAAGGAAGAACGAGUGUGAGAAUGGAAAGUUCAUGCUGUGACGGUACUUAACCAGAAAGGGACGGCUAACUACGUGCCAGCAGCCGCGGUAAUACGUAGGUCCCGAGCGUUGUCCGGAUUUAUUGGGCGUAAAGCGAGCGCAGGCGGUUAGAAAAGUCUGAAGUGAAAGGCAGUGGCUCAACCAUUGUAGGCUUUGGAAACUAUUUAACGUGAGUGCAGAAGGGGAGAGUGGAAUUCCAUGUGUAGCGGUGAAAUGCGUAGAUAUAUGGAGGAACACCGGUGGCGAAAGCGGCUCUCUGGUCUGUAACUGACGCUGAGGCUCGAAAGCGUGGGGAGCGAACAGG
rnacentral:rRNA from 1 species